CGCAACCUUCUUGGUGUCCAUUAGAUGGAUCCUACCAUUCUUUCACUUACAGCUCGACCAGUCUCCGAGGUAGGUUGCCAUACGCUGUGAGCCCUGUUAUCCCGGCCCAACCGAAGCAACUGAGGUCAGCCCAUGCGAGGUGUCUUAGGCUAACUUGCCGAGAUGGUUCGCUUACUCAGCGCCAAGGUAUCGCUUGAAGGCCACGUGUCGUGAUGUAAUUUAGAGGACCAAAUUACCUCUCAUCAAUUAACCCCCACUUCCGAGCCUUCGUCAGCUCGACGAAGGGAAUAGCUCUUAAUAAGGUAAUUGGUUCGACUGGUUCGUAGGUUGCUCGGCUCGCUCACCUGAUCCGGUCUGAGACUGGGCGGGAUCACGGUAGAUUUCAAAUUUCGAAUUCAAAAGGAGGGCACGCACAGUGAGCGCACAAAGUUUAAAUUCAAAAUAGCCCGCACGCGUCGUCGUCGUCUCGAUCGUCGAUCUGCUAUCAACGCAUCCCAACCGUUGGCCAUUCUUCCCAGUGGACUAUAAAUAUGGGGUCCCCACUGAGGCCUCACUCACACUGUUUUUGGAUUUUUCUCUGAGGAGGAGGAUGACCGAUCUGAGAAGGUCUCAGUUGAGGUGUUGUUGUCUACUAGCCUGUUGAAACUUUGUUCGUCUCCGGUUCCGGUUUCCUUUGUCUCGUUUACCCGGUGAGUAGCUUCCUCUAUAAAUGUCUUUUGAUCCUUCAAAGGGUAGAUCGCUGGACUAUAGGUGGGUAGGAUGGGAGGGAAUCUUUGGGAGAGGAUUCUCAGGGAGAGUCUUCUGCGUCUGAGCUAGGGGUAGGAGUAGAGGUCCGAACAGCGGAAUCCCCUUUUGAUCCUUACGAGCUCUCUAGUGAGCGUAUAAUAGAGCUGUAUAGUACUUAUCAAAUACCUGCCGAUUUUGACUGUAUCUAGCCUGGCCCUAACGAGUAUCCCUAGAGUCAUGGCCAAGACACGGUCUGUGUCUUUGAGGAGACGCUAGUUGCCGGUCUUUGUUUUCCCUUGCACCCUUUUAUUCUUGCGAUGAUCUCGCAUUACGAUGUCUCCUUAGGUCAGCUACACCCCAAUGUAGUUCGAACUCUGGUAGGGCUGAUUUCUUUGUGUCACCACCACAACUUCCCCUUGGAUUUAGAUGUUUUCUCCGGGCUGUGCUCUAUGAAAAAGGUCCCCAAUGUUCCCUACUGUUUUUACCUUCCCUUCCGUAGCGGCUAUAAGAUGCUAGUUGACUUUCCCUCCAAAGUUAAAGAUUGGAAGAAUAGGUACUUCUUCCUUUCUCAUAGUAAUUGCUGGAAUAUGGAUACUGUAUUGCGGAGGGAUUGCCGAAGUUUCAAUGUAAAGUUCGAUGGAGAGAUACGACUUGCAGUUCAACACUUUGUUCGCCGGAAGUUUCUAGUAGAGAACCUUUUGGCCGAGCGUAUGCUCAUACAGGCCAGCUUGAGUCACGUAGAUAUGGCGACCAUGGAGUCACUUUUGGUGGCAUCUAAGAAGGCGGCUUCGAGGAAGAAGUGAAGGGCUGACUAUUCGUCGAUGGAGGGCACCUCGACCAGUGCCGAGGUGAGGUCGUUGUCGCUCGCUCACUUCCGUCGUCGACCUCGAGGGAGGCGGCGACCCUAUGAGUACCGACUGGGACGAUAUGGGCCCUGCUGCCUUUCAACCUCAAGUCGUCCAAGAGGAACAUGCCGCCGGUCCUUACACCUCCGACAUAACUCGCUUCGUCCCGAAUGUUGACGUCUCUAUGAUCGAUCGCCUGAACGACCCAUAUGUAGCUCUUUGGAUGGGAAGGGGCAUGCGGCUUCCGGAAGAUGUGCGGUAUUACUGCGGUUUGGACCUAGCCGACGUUGGAACUCGGAUGACUCGUUGUAUACUUUAGGUGAACACCAUGGGACAGGUACUGUUGGAUCAGGUCGCCUUAGGCCGGAGAGAGAAGGCCGAGCUGUAGUCUAGUGUUGACGCACUGUAGUCUCAGAUGCGAGAAAUCCAACUAAGCGCCGAGGAGGACUGCCAGUGAUUCAUCAAGCUGAGCGGAAAGAUGUAGUGCAAGUUGGACGAGGCUCGGGAGACCAUUGCUGCCCAGGAGUGCCGAUUGGAAGAGAGGCGGACUAAGUAUAUAGAGGAUAUCUGCCAAGUAGAAUUGGCAGCCGUUGAUCGUUUCCGUGACUCCCCUGAAUAUGCCCAGGAGAAGGUGGAGAAUGCAAUCCCUGCGAUGCGAAAGGGAUUUAAGCUUUGUUGUCGCUACUUGAAGACGCUUCAUCCUGAUUUUGACUUCGACACUUUUCUCUGUCAACGACAUGCCAAAUGAGCUUGUUGUGCAAGUUGAUGGGGAGCCCUUGACUCCUAAUGAGGAUGAGGAAGUAGCUGGAGCAGAAGAGGGCGAGGAGGGUGACGAUGUCGAUGACGAGCUGCAAGGUGGUGGCGAGGAGUAGAUCGGCCUUGUUGGUUUCUCUUCUUCUGUUGUUUCUGGGAGCUUGUGAGCUCCUGUAAGUUGAUGUUUCUUAGGCCUCCGUGCUCAUAAUGUUGAACUUUC